rnacentral:rRNA from 1 species
AACGCUAGCGGCAAGCUUAACACAUGCAAGUCGAGCGGCAUCGGAAAUAAAGUUUUUUUUAUUUGCCGGCGAGCGGCGGACGGGUGAGUAAUAUCUGGGGAUCUACCUAAUGAUGGGGGAUAACUACUGGAAACGGUAGCUAAUACCGCAUAAUGUUGAAAAACUAAAGUAGGGGAUUAAAUAACAUUUAACCUUAUGUCAUAAGAUGAACCCAGAUGAGAUUAGCUAGUAGGUAAGGUAAUGGCUUACCUAGGCAACGAUCUCUAGCUGGUCUGAGAGGAUGGCCAGCCACACUGGAACUGAGACACGGUCCAGACUCCUACGGGAGGCAGCAGUGGGGAAUAUUGCACAAUGGGAGAAAUCCUGAUGCAGCUAUGCCGCGUGUGUGAAGAAGGCCUUAGGGUUGUAAAACACUUUCAGCGAAGAAGAAGUUAUUAUUACUAAUAAUAAUAUUAAUUGACGUUACUCGCAGAAGAAGCACCGGCUAACUCCGUGCCAGCAGCCGCGGUAAUACGGAGGGUGCAAGCGUUAAUCGGAAUUACUGGGCGUAAAGAGUACGUAGGUGGUUUAUUAAGUCAGAUGUGAAAUCCCCGAGCUUAACUUAGGAACUGCAUUUGAAACUAAUUAACUAGAGUAUCAUAUAGGGGGGGUAGAAUUCCAGGUGUAGCGGUGAAAUGCGUAGAUAUCUGGAGGAAUACCAGUGGCGAAGGCGGCCCCCUGGAUGAAUACUGACACUGAGGUACGAAAGCGUGGGGAGCAAACAGGAUUAGAUACCCUGGUAGUCCACGCUGUAAACUAUGUCGAUUUGAAGGUUGUAGACUUGAUCUGUGACUUUCGUAGUUAACACGUUAAAUCGACCGCCUGGGGAGUACGGUCGCAAGGCUAAAACUCAAAUGAAUUGACGGGGGCCCGCACAAGCGGUGGAGCAUGUGGUUUAAUUCGAUGCAACGCGAAAAACCUUACCUACUCUUGACAUCCAAAGAACUUAAUAGAAAUAUUAAGGUGCCUUAGGGAACUUUGAGACAGGUGCUGCAUGGCUGUCGUCAGCUCGUGUUGUGAAAUGUUGGGUUAAGUCCUAUAACGAGCGCAACCCUUAUCUUAUUUUACUAAAAAUAAUAUUAGAACUAAUAAGAAACUGCCUAUGAUAAAUUGGAGGAAGGUGAGGACGACGUCAAGUCAUCAUGGCCCUUAUGAGUAGGGCUACACACGUGCUACAAUGGUAUAUACAAAGGGAAGCAACCUCGCGAGAGCAAGCGGAUCUCACAAAGUAUACCGUAGUUCGGAUUGGAGUCUGCAACUCGACUCCAUGAAGUCGGAAUCGCUAGUAAUCGUGAAUCAGAAUGUCACGGUGAAUACGUUCUCGGGCCUUGUACACACCGCCCGUCACACCAUGGGAGUGGGUUGCAAAAGAAGUAAGUUAAUUUAACCUAUUUUUCAAAAUAGGAGAAUGCUUACCACUUUGUGGUUCAUGACUGGGGUGAAGUCGUAACAAGGUAACUGUAGGGGAACCUGCGGUUGGAUCACCUCCUUA